rnacentral:pre_miRNA from 1 species
UCUUAUGGAUAAGCAAAGAGUGGUUUAUUGAGGUGGAAUCUACUCUGGUGAAGAUGCUGUGAA